GACGAACGCUGGCGGCGUGCCUAAUACAUGCAAGUCGAGCGAACCACUUCGGUGGUGAGCGGCGAACGGGUGAGUAACACGUAGGUGAUCUGCCCACCAGACGGGGACAACGAUUGGAAACGAUCACUAAUACCGGAUAGGACGAAAGUUUAAAGGUGCUUCUGGCACCGCUGAUGGAUGAGCCUGCGGCGCAUUAGCUAGUUGGUAGGGUAAAGGCCUACCAAGGCGACGAUGCGUAGCCGACCUGAGAGGGUGAACGGCCACACUGGGACGGAGACACGGCCCAGACUCCUACGGGAGGCAGCAGUAGGGAAUCUUCGGCAAUGGGCGAAAGCCUGACCGAGCAACGCCGCGUGAAUGAUGAAGGCCUUCGGGUUGUAAAAUUCUGUUAUAAGGGAAGAACGACUUUAGUAGGAAAUGGCUAGAGUGUGACGGUACCUUAUGAGAAAGCCACGGCUAACUACGUGCCAGCCGCCGCCGUAAGAC
rnacentral:rRNA from 1 species